UGUGGGUGAUUAGAAGGAAAAGUUGAGAAAUGAAGGAAAUGGAAAGUUGGCAAACUGCCCAGUGGGCGUAAAGUCCAAAUACAGACCGUAAAGUGAAAUACGGUCCGUAAAUAGCCAGGUUGUAAAAUGGCAUACAAAGGCUUCAACUUUCUGUCAGUGGGAAAUGGUAAAACACGACCUGGUGGACGGACCGUAAAGUGAAAUACGGUCCGUAAACUGCAGUCGUAAAUUGCCAUGCAAAGGCUUCAACUUUCUGCCAACUGAGGAAGAGGUAUAAUACGACCUGGUGGACGGACCGUAAAGUGAUUUACGACCCGUAAACCACCAUGGACGACCACACCAUGCAUGCAGGCCAAAGUCUCUAGCCUUGCUUAAGCUUAAAGACGACCACAUGGGACGGUCCGUAAAGUGAUUUACGGCCCGUAAACCACCAUGGACGACCACACCAUGCAUGCAGGCCAAAGUCUCUGGCCUUGCUUAAGCUUAAAGACGACCACAUGGGACGGUCCGUAAAGUGAGAUACGGACCGUAAACCACCAUGGACGACCACUGUUCACUGAUGACAGAUUUUCCAAGUCAUUAAAUAUGAAGACCAAGACUUGUUUUAUUUCAUUUCUACAGUGCACCACUUCUCUCUAGAAUCAUCUCUCUACAUUUAUUCCAUAAGUUUUCAAGGAUUACAAGCCACCAACAACAUAAAUAAGUGAAUCAAGUGUAAGCAAGCCAUUAAAUACCAUCCAAGUCAAGAAAUGCAAAUGGAGAAAAACUAGGGUUUUGCUCAAAGUGAAGUAUUAUUAACCAAGGCUUGUUCCUACAUCAUCUAAGGUGGAAACUUGAGCAUUGAAGGAGUACGCACAAGUGUAGGAUAGUUCGACGACAAGGUAUGUGAGGCUAACCCUUCUUUCAUAAGGCAUGGUUCUUUGGCCAAACUCCUAAUCCCUCUAUAUGAGUAUGUUGACUAGAAUUGUUUCACAUUCCGAGCUCAUAAGCUCAGUAUCCUUAAUAUGCACUACGAAUGAACUACGCACCUCAAGCGACGAGUAAGACUAUGAUAUAGAGUUAAUGAAAAUGUUAAUGAUGUAAAAGGUGCCUACGGGCUAUUGUAUGUAUGUGUGCCUAUGAAGGGCUAUAAUGAACCCCCGAGCUUAUGAUGCCGGGUAAGGAUAUAUGUAUAUAAAUAUGUAUAAAGUAUAUAUAUUAUUACGAAACGCGCGCUCACCUCUGUAGAUGGUACGGAUAACCCUGAUGCCUUGGUAGGGACAGGUAGAUGUAACCUUGAGCUUUGGUUGGCCAGGUAUGUAUGAUCUUGAGCCUUGGUUGGCCAAGUAUGUAUGAAACACCGAUCCUAUGAGGUUGGGCAUGCUAUGUAAAUGUUAUGUAUAUGAAUAUAAAUAUGAAUAUAUAUAUAUAUAUAUAUAUAUAUAUAUAUAUAUAUAUAUAUAUAUAUAUAUAUAUAUAUAUAUAUAUAAUGAAUACAAAUGUGAUAAGACUAUGUAUAAGGAUAUGAAUAAGAACAGGUAUACGAACAUGAGCACAAGUAUGGUAUGAGUAUUACUAUGAAAUACGAACGACGAUGUAUGCAAGUAAGCGACAUGAUGACGAUGAUAUUACUGUCUCCCCUCUUAUGCUAUUUCCAUAUGAUAUUUAUUAUGCUUCAAUAUUGAUGAUGAUCAUGCUUUACAUACUCAGUACAUUCUUCGUACUGACGUCCUUUUGUUUGUGGACGCUGCGUCAUGCCCGCAGGUGCACCAGGAGACAGACGUGACUAGUAGCUGCUUAUUCUGAGUUUGCAUAGUAGAGCUCCAUUUCAUUCGGAGCGAUAGUUUUUGGGUACUAAUCCUUUUGUGUAUAUAACUAUGGGCAUAGCGGGGUCCUAUCCCGCUCAUGACAUGUCAUACUCUUAGAGGCUCGUAGUCAUGCGUAUGUGGGUAGAGAUGUUUGGCCAUGUCGGCCUAUGUUUUGUAUAUCUUUUGUUGGCCUCGUCGGCCUUGUAUAUUUGACGUGGCAUAGAUGCCUAUGAUAUGUUAAUCAAUGACGAUCGUCCAAUGGGACUAGCUGGUUUAAUGGCUAAAAUGUAUGAAAUGA